GAUGAACGCUAGCGGCAGGCUUAAUACAUGCAAGUCGAGGGGCAGCAUGAAUGUAGCAAUACAUUUGAUGGCGACCGGCAAACGGGUGCGGAACACGUACACAACCUUCCUAUAAGUGGGGAAUAGCCCAGAGAAAUUUGGGUUAAUACCCCGUAACAUAAUGAUGUGGCAUCACAUUAUUAUUAUAGCUUCGGCGCUUAUUGAUGGGUGUGCGGCUGAUUAGAUAGUUGGCGGGGUAACGGCCCACCAAGUCUACGAUCAGUAGCUGAUGUGAGAGCAUGAUCAGCCACACGGGCACUGAGACACGGGCCCGACUCCUACGGGAGGCAGCAGUAAGGAAUAUUGGUCAAUGGACGCAAGUCUGAACCAGCCAUGCCGCGUGAAGGAUUAAGGUCCUCUGGAUUGUAAACUUCUUUUAUCUGGGACGAAAAAAGACUAUUCUUAGUCACUUGACGGUACCAGAUGAAUAAGCACCGGCUAACUCCGUGCCAGCCGCCGCGGUAAUAC
rnacentral:rRNA from 1 species